UAGUUAAGAAUGAUGUAGCGAGUCGAAUGGUAAUUAACAAGGAUACCUUCACGAUACGAUUUAACGAUAAGCUUACGUAAAACAUUGAUGCAUUGUUCAAUACGCACAUGCAACAACUAUCAACAUUUCAUCAAAACAAUGCGUGCCGCCAAAUUAAUACUCGACAAUAUCGAUAUAUCAGUGGUAACCCGACGAAUAGGGGUUGACACACUUACAGUUUAUUGUGCAACAAAAUUCAACCCGAAAUAAUCGAAAUGUAGUCAAUAUGGGUUUUAUACGAGGGCUGUAGUUCUCUUUACAGAUGAUGAGAAGAGCGUUUGGAGGAAGACCUGUAAUGGUAUGGGACGGUAUAACUUCAAACCGACGUACAGUCCUUCACGUGUUGGCAAACGGUUCCCUGACAGUCAGACGAUACAUUGACGAUAUUCUGCAACCUCUGCCGUAGUUGUUUAACGUUUGGGAGUUAUGGAGUGGCCAGCGAACAGUCCCGAUUUGAAUCCGAUAGAACAUCUUUGGAACAUUCUAGCACGAUCAAGAAUUAGGACAACCACUCAGACAGAGAACAUGGAAUGGAACAAUGUACUACUCCAAGACUUAAUCCUCCGGUUGAUACAAUCUAUGCCUCAACGUGGAACCGAACUUCGAAUAAUUAAAAUUGCGUAAAAUUCAUUAUUCAGUUGUUUUUAUACGGGUGUCACCUAUAAAUGAUCAAAAUUUUAUUUCGAUAU